rnacentral:rRNA from 1 species
UACGGGGGGGGGCAAGCGUUGUUCGGAAUUACUGGGCGUAAAGGGCUCGUAGGCGGCCAACUACGUCAGACGUGAAAUCCCUCGGCUUAACCGGGGAACUGCAUCUGAUACUGGAUGGCUUGAGGUUGGGAGAGGGAUGCGGAAUUCCAGGUGUAGCGGUGAAAUGCGUAGAUAUCUGGAGGAACACCGGUGGCGAAGGCGGCAUCCUGGACCAAUUCUGACGCUGAGUGAGCGAAAGCCAGGGGAGCAAACGGG